AGACCCCAACCCUGCCAGAAAAUAUGCAAUUCUCCUGUGGGAAGAGGCUGCCUGUCCAAGGAUGGUGCUGACAUCACUGCCUUAAGGUCUCUGCCGUGCAGAAGGAGGCGGCCCUGGAGCGGGGCGUCCCAGCUUGGAAGGACGAGAAGACACCCCGCCAGGUGGGCCUUCCCUGGGCGCUGGCCUCUCAGCCCCACCUUGGCUGUCGACCCGGGGCUGGGCUCCGGCUCCGGCUCCAGCGCCGUCUCCCCCAGGGCUGAGCCCCAUCUCUGUUCUCGGUGCUGCCCGGCCGGUGCCUUCUGUCCUGGGUGUUACUGGCUACUUGAGAAAAAGGAAAGGGGUGACCCCCUUCCUCCAUUCCAACUGCCUCAGACCUCCCGGAGUGAUGCCUGCCUCCCCGGCCAGCGUGGAGGCCACGGUGCAGUCUGCCUGGAUCUCAGCAGGCUGGCCCUGGCGGCCUCGGGUUCUUGCGCCUCAUCUCUGAGCCCUGGCCCACAGAGCCAACGGCGGCGUUGCACUUGGCUCUUCAGCUGCCAGCCUCCAGAAAGUGGGCUCCCGGCCAGCGCGGGGGCACCACCCACCGCUGUCCCUCUGGAGUCUGGACUCCAUUUCCAGUUGUCCACCUGGGCCCCUGGCUGUGGGCGUCCAUCAUCCCCCAGGAAUCGUGGCGACUGCGGCUGGCCAAGCCUCCUCACGGUGCUAGGCCCCUCGGCGCUCACGCAGGCCCCUCUGAAGCCGACCCCCCGCCCUCCGCCCCUGCCCUGGAGUGAGUGGCCAGCGCAGAUCCACAGCAUCCUCUCCCACCGGUCCCCCUGCUUCUUGGUUGAGACGCUGGGACCCCUCAGAAAGGGACGGCCAGGUCCCAGGACUAAACUCGCAUCCCGGCACCUUGAGAAAACCCGGCCCCUCCAGGACUGGGCUGGGUGCUGCCCCCUCCUGCCCCCAGCUCCUCUCCUCACCGCAUCUGGCGAGCAGACCAUGUGCUUCAGCGCCCAGCCCCACUUCCGGGCAGAGGUGCAACCACGGCCCCCAUUUCUGGAUGAAGGAGACCACCGCAUUUUGUCCAGUGUGUUUGUCCUCCGUUCCUGCUUAGGCACCAGAAAUAAAGCGCGAGGUGUCAAGGCCGGCAGAGAACGCGCUAUCUGUGUGUGUGUCUCCGGGAGCGGCUGGCUGCCGCCGUUGCAUCUUCCGAGGCAGCUCCGCGGUGCUUAUCUCUGCGCGUCUAGUCUCGGCGUCUCUGUUGCGUGA
ensembl:lncRNA